UACGUAGGGUGCGAGCGUUGUCCGGAAUUAUUGGGCGUAAAGAGCUUGUAGGCGGUUUGUCGCGUCUGCUGUGAAAAUCCGGGGCUCAACCCCGGACUUGCAGUGGGUACGGGCAGACUAGAGUGCGGUAGGGGAGACUGGAAUUCCUGGUGUAGCGGUGAAAUGCGUAGAUAUCUGGAGGAACACCGGUGGCGAAGGCGCCCACCUGGCCUGCUACUGACGCUGAAGCUCGAAAGCUAGGGGAGCAAACGGG
rnacentral:rRNA from 1 species